CCUACGGGAGGCAGCAGUGAGGAAUAUUGGUCAAUGGCCGGAAGGCUGAACCAGCCAAGCCGCGUGAAGGACGAAGGUGCCAAGCAUUGUAAACUUCUUUUGUCAAGGGACAAAAUCAGGCUCGAGAGCCUGACCGAGGGUACUUUAAGAAAAAGCAUCGGCUAACUCCGUGCCAGCCGCCGCGGUAAUACGGAGGAUGCGGUGGUUAUCCGGAUUUAUUGGGGUAAAAGGGUGCGUGGGAGGAUGGUUAAGUCAGCGGUAAAAGCCCGGGGCCCAACCCCGGCGAGCCGUUGAAACUGGCUGUCUUGAGAUGUCGAGAGGUAUGCGGAAUGCGCAGUGUAGCGGUGAAAUGCUUAGAUAUUGCGCAGAACUCCGAUUGCGAAGGCAGCAUACCGGCGGCGAUCUGACGCUGAGGCACGAAAGCGUGGGUAUCGAACAGGAUUAGAUACCCUAGUAGUC
rnacentral:rRNA from 1 species